AUACCGUUAUCGCUGUCGGAAUACUGGGCGUAAGCGCGCGUAGGUGGUUCGUUAAGUUGGAUGUGAAAUCCCCGGGCUCAACCUGGGAACUGCAUUCAAAACUGUCGAGCUAGAGUAUGGUAGAGGGUGGUGGAAUUUCCUGUGUAGCGGUGAAAUGCGUAAAUAUUGGAAGGAACACCAGUGGCGAAGGCGACCUCCUGGACUGAUACUGACACUGAGGUGCGAAAGCGUGGGGAGCAAACAGGAUUAGAUACCCCGGUAGUCCA
rnacentral:rRNA from 1 species